UCUGGAACUAAAAUGCAGGUAAUGUCCUGACCGUCCCAAAUACAUGGGCCCCGUCUCAGGGAAGACAAACCACAUCAUACCUUACUGGUGAAAUCCCCAUCAUGGGAUACUGUUGGACUAUCAGUAGACCUCGAAAACCUUCGCCGGGAACCGUGAGGUGUGAGCUCAAGGUCAUCAAUUCUUGGUGGGAUAUGCUUAGUGCCCUGCGUUGUUUAUGCCCCGAACUCUUGUCAAAGAGAGGUGUCAGAUUGGGUGAAGUCGCAUGGUUUAAGGACGGAUCCCUAAUAGGGAACCCAAUACUUGAUACCAGAUUUUCUUUUGUCUGCCGAAGUUGUUGCAUCAGCCGUCCAAUUAAACAGGUUGAAGAAUUAGAUCCAACUCAGUAGACUGCCAUUGGCAACUUCAUGGUUCAAGAACUCGAUGGAACCGUGAACAAAUAGGGUUGGUUCAACCAAAAGCUUGAGGCAGUUAGGAAGCACAUAGCAAAGUCGUUAUGGUGAUAAUGGAGGUGAUGAGGUGGAACUAGAAGAGUUUUAUGACUACAACAGCAGAAUGACAGGAGCAAGUCACUAUAAGCUAGGACAAGUACAAAACGAGGCAAGCUGUGAAGCAACAAGGAAAUUGAGUCCAACAUUAUGAAGAGUACAAGUCUAAAGCGUAUGGACAGAUUAAAUCAUGGGCCAAGGAGUAUGAAGCCCAGCAAGUCAAAUAGAGUCCAGAAAGGUAUAAGAUCAGUAGAUACAAAUACAGCUUAGUAUGGGAACAUAAUAUUUCAUAGAGUCCUAAAUCAGUUUUGUUUUAUAAAAGAUAAGUGUCGAUAUACAAAACUGAUUUUACUAUUUUACUUAAGGUUAAACUCUUAAACGUUUUGAGUUAAUUCACAACUCUCAAAUCCGUAAAGAUUGAUUUUAUCUAAACGCGUUUUAAAUAUGUUAUUUGCGAAAAUCUAUCUUUUGAAAAGAGUCCCAAAUUGUGUUGAAUUAGAAUCUAGGGUAAACUCUUAGUUUCUUAUAUAUACACCUUAAGUUCUCUGCGAAAGUUUUUUAUCAAACUUAUUUACAUUAACCGGAAGCUUUCAGGUAUUACCCUUAAAGUCUUAAUCUUUAAAGAGUCUGUUCCUGUUCCCAUAUAGAGCAGUAUUUGUUACGUGGUCUUAUUGAAGGAAAUAAUUCCCUUGGUCCAAGUAUGCAUUCUAUAUUAAGUCUAAUAAAUGCGGUUCAGUAUUAAUUAACAAGUUAAUAAAUUCAGUGAGAUCAAGUGAGCUGAAUGCCUAGCUAGAGGCCGCUUCAGUUCAAGUGGAAUUAAUGAUAUUAAUCCACAGCUUACUCUUGACUGAACCC